GACGAACGCUGGCGGCGUGCCUAAUACAUGCAAGUAGAACGCACAGUUUAUACCGUAGCUUGCUACACCAUAGACUGUGAGUUGCGAACGGGUGAGUAACGCGUAGGUAACCUGCCUGGUAGCGGGGGAUAACUAUUGGAAACGAUAGCUAAUACCGCAUAAUAUUAAUUAUUGCAUGAUAAUUAAUUGAAAGGUGCAAUUGCACCACUACCAGAUGGACCUGCGUUGUAUUAGCUAGUAGGUGAGGUAACGGCUCACCUAGGCGACGAUACAUAGCCGACCUGAGAGGGUGAUAGGCCACACUGGGACUGAGACACGGCCCAGACUCCUACGGGAGGCAGCAGUAGGGAAUCUUCGGCAAUGGACGAAAGUCUGACCGAGCAACGCCGCGUGAGUGAAGAAGGUUUUCGGAUCGUAAAGCUCUGUUGUAAGAGAAGAACGGGUGUGAGAGUGGAAAGUUCACACUGUGACGGUAUCUUACCAGAAAGAGACGGCUAACUACGUG
rnacentral:rRNA from 1 species